AACGAACGCUGGCGGCAUGCCUAACACAUGCAAGUCGAACGAGACCUUCGGGUCUUGUGGCGCCCGGGUGCGUCACGCGUGGGAACCUUCACUUAUGUUCGGCCUAACUCUCCGAAAGGGGUGCUAAUACCAGACCAUGUCUACUGCCCAAUGAUUUAUCGACUUUGGAUGUGCGCGCGUUGGAUUAGCUAGUUCGUAGGGUAAAAGCCUACCAAGGCGACGAUGCAUAGCUGGUUAGGGAGGAUGAUCAGCCACACUGGGAGUGAGACACGGCCCAGACUCCUACGGGAGGCAGGAGUGGGGAAUAUUGGACAAUGGGCGAAAGGAUGAUCCAGCAAGGCCGCGUGAGUGAUGAAGGCCUUAGGGUUGUAAAGCUCUUGUACCCGGGAUGAUAAUGACAGUACCGAGAGAAUAAGCUCCGGCUAACUACGUG
rnacentral:rRNA from 1 species